UUCGGCGGCCUCAGCGGAGAGGAUCCACCCGUUCCCAUUCCGAACACGGAAGUUAAGCUCUCCAGCGCCGAUGGUACUGCAUGGGAAGCUGUGCGGGAGAGUAGGCCGCUGCCGAAU
rnacentral:rRNA from 1 species